rnacentral:rRNA from 1 species
AUUGAACGCUGGCGGCAUGCUUUACACAUGCAAGUCGGACGGCAGCACAGAGAAGCUUGCUUCUUGGGUGGCGAGUGGCGAACGGGUGAGUAACAUAUCGGAACGUACCGAGUAAUGGGGGAUAACUAAUCGAAAGAUUAGCUAAUACCGCAUAUUCUCUGAGGAGGAAAGCAGGGGACCUUCGGGCCUUGCGUUAUUCGAGCGGCCGAUAUCUGAUUAGCUAGUUGGUGGGGUAAAGGCCUACCAAGGCGACGAUCAGUAGCGGGUCUGAGAGGAUGAUCCGCCACACUGGGACUGAGACACGGCCCAGACUCCUACGGGAGGCAGCAGUGGGGAAUUUUGGACAAUGGGCGCAAGCCUGAUCCAGCCAUGCCGCGUGUCUGAAGAAGGCCUUCGGGUUGUAAAGGACUUUUGUCAGGGAAGAAAAGGCUGUUGCUAAUAUCGACAGCUGAUGACGGUACCUGAAGAAUAAGCACCGGCUAACUACGUGCCAGCAGCCGCGGUAAUACGUAGGGUGCGAGCGUUAAUCGGAAUUACUGGGCGUAAAGCGAGCGCAGACGGUUACUUAAGCAGGAUGUGAAAUCCCCGGGCUCAACCUGGGAACUGCGUUCUGAACUGGGUGACUAGAGUGUGUCAGAGGGAGGUAGAAUUCCACGUGUAGCGUGAAAUGCGUAGAGAUGUGGAGGAAUACCGAUGGCGAAGGCAGCCUCCUGGGAUAACACUGACGUUCAUGCUCGAAAGCGUGGGUAGCAACAGG